AUAAAGGACUUUGUAAAAAGGUUUAUUAGGUGUUUUACACAGUGAUUAAAAUAGAUUGAAUCAGGCCUACAGUAUGUAAAUAAGUAAAAAUAGCACAGCAUUACCAAGAGCAAACAGGAUGUGCUUUCUGUACCAGUAUCUGCCUCACUUCAUGCUCGGACAUUUUAGGGCUAUCCCCCCACAGAAGGCUGGCGUUAGUAAUGGUGCCGGAGUACAGUUUUCUCCAGAUCCAUCAGCACAGCUAGGCUCUUCCAUACACAGUUUCAGAAGCUGAGGAAGUGAGCGCAUCUUGGGUGAGGGAGCCACAAAGCUCUGCUGCUCUGGAAGAGUGGAGCCUGUUUGGUCUGUUGUGACAUUUCUCCAUCACCUCCAAAAAACAGCAACAGAAACAACAGUUCAGAUAUGAAACAAAGAAUGGGCACGUUCCCCCAACCAGUCACUGAGGGCCACAGUGCUCAGGGACAUCUGCUCCAGCUGUGAUAUCACCAGUACCAAGAUUCAAAGAAAACAGAAGUGAAACUUCCUGGGAUCAAAUGGGCAGAACAUUCCCGUUCUGGAAGAGUCACACUAUCCUUUGAAUCUCAUUGUGAGAAAAAGAGCAAAGAUGGGACCGCAGAAAAGAGGAGGGAGAUACAAGAAUUCCUCAUCCCAGGAGCAUCUUGCUUAGAGCACGUGAUGCCGUCGUUGCCCUGGUUAUGUGAUUUAUCUGCCCCCUCACUGGCCAGCUCCCAAACCAUAGGCCAAAUAACCUCAACACACAAAAGAACUAAAGCAUUCUCCCCCCUCUCCAUGACCGUAUGUGCACAUUCAUCUUGUGACUUUACCACCGCGCAGUGCAGAAUAAGUUAACGGGAACCCCUAAAUCUCCCCAAAUAAGGGUGGAGUCAUCCCUCACUGCUCUGCCCCUGGCUGGCUCCAGCACCCAGUGAGGUAAGCAGACAGUGUGAAAAGAGGCUGAUUAAACUGCCAUAAGCCUGCUUAGAAGGCUGGACCGUGUGCAAUAAAACGCACUGGAAACUCUGGAUUCUCCUUCCACAACAGCAGUGCUGGUACUAACACGGACCAUGUUGCUCUCUCUCAUCUCACACAGCCUGUUUUCUUGGCCACAAAACUUCUACAGGCAGGUCCAGACAUGGGAGGGAACCAAAGGAUAAGGUUUCAGUGGAGACACUUCAUAGAGGAACGUGACAGCGACAGUAUUAAACGAAUAGGUCAUCUGCUUUUCUAGGCCAUGAUAUAAAAUUCAGGUGUAUAAAUUAGCAUUGAUGCAUAGAUGUAGCAUCAAUAUAAAUCUUAAAUUAA